rnacentral:tRNA from 1 species
CCUUCGAUAGCUCAGUUGGUAGAGCGGUGGACUGUAGCGUACAAAGAGCGCGAGCUCUCUCCAUAGUAAUCCAUAGGUCACUGGUUCAAAUCCGGUUCGAAGGA